AGGACAGUGGCAAAAUUACAGAGAAUGGUGAAGAGUCAACAAUUUCACAGCUGUUGUGGAAAUCCCAGAUACUGUGGGAAACCAAACGCUGUCAUGUUUGGAUUAAAAACGUCAUCCGAAGGUACACAGCUUGGGGAAUUUCAUUGACUUCUCCAGGAACUGCAUCUGGAUAACUGCCAAUAUGUUGCUACUACACUGAGAACAAGACACACCUGGGGACAAGCUCAUGAAACUUUGAUUCUUUGUGGUCUAAAACCCCACAGAGUACCUUUUGAGGCCAUUCAAAAGGGCAAGUCUCCUGGU